rnacentral:rRNA from 1 species
GAUGAACGCUAGCGGCAGGCCUAAUACAUGCAAGUCGAACGGGAUCUGAGGGUAGCUUGCUACCCGAUUUGAGAGUGGCGCACGGGUGCGUAACGCGUGAGCAACCUACCCAUAUCAAGGGGAUAGCCCGAAGAAAUUCGGAUUAACACCGCAUAAUAAUACGCUAACACAUGUUGAUGUAUUUAAAUAUUUAUAGGAUAUGGAUGGGCUCGCGUGACAUUAGGUAGUUGGUAAGGUAACGGCUUACCAAGGCGACGAUGUCUAGGGGCUCUGAGAGGAGAAUCCCCCACACUGGUACUGGGACACGGACCAGACUCCUACGGGAGGCAGCAGUAAGGAAUAUUGGUCAAUGGGCGCAAGCCUGAACCAGCCAUGCCGCGUGCAGGGUGACUGCCCUAUGGGUUGUAAACUGCUUUUGUUAGGGAAUAAACCUUCUUACGUGUAAGGAGCUGAAUGUACCUAAAGAAUAAGGAUCGGCUAACUCCGUGCCAGCCGCCGCAGUAA